rnacentral:rRNA from 1 species
CGCCCGCCGCGCGCGGCGGGCGGGGCGGGGGCACGGGGGGCCUACGGGAGGCAGCAGUGGGGAAUAUUGGACAAUGGGGGAAACCCUGAUCCAGCGACGCCGCGUGAGUGAAGAAGUAUUUCGGUAUGUAAAGCUCUAUCAGCAGGGAAGAAAAUGACGGUACC